AAUGCUUGGUAGGGUACCAAUCGGUGGGAUACACAUCAGUGGGAUACACCUCAGUGGGAUACACCUCAGUGGGGUAUGGCUUCCCAUAAUGCUUGGUAGGGUACCAAUCGGUGGGAUACACAUCAGUGGGAUACACCUCAGUGGGAUACACCUCAGUGGGGUAUGGCUUCCCAUAAUGCUUGGUAGGGUACCAAUCGGUGGGAUACACCUCGGUGGGAUACACAUCAGUGGGAUUCACAUCAGUGGGAUUCACAUCAGUGGGAUUCACAUCAGUGGGAUACACCUCAGUAGGGUACUCCUCAGUGGGAUAUGGCUUCGUAUGAUGCUUGGUAGGGUACCAAUCGGUAGGAUUCGCCUCCGUGGGAUAUGGCUUCGUAUGAUGCUUGGUAGGGUACCAAUCGGUAGGAUUCACCUCGGUAGGAUAUUCCUCAGUAGGGUACAGCUUUGUGGGAUAUUUGGUAGGGUACGCCUUCGUAGGAUAUGCCUCAGUAGGAUAACGCACAACUGAUGUUUUCAAAGUCGUUGGCGCAAACUUGGUGCUUUUUUCGUGCGUGUCAUCACGAGCUUCAACACACUUGCCAUUGUGAAAUCGCCAGCUGUCAGAGGAUUUCAAGGGACCGCACUCAUAACAAGGGCCUUUUCCAUGCCCUGCAAGCAUUAUACAUUCAGCCAGAGAAUUGUCGAAUUUAGACGCACACCAGGCUACACAGACAUGGUGGUCAUUUUUUCCAUCUGCAUAGGUCGAUGUAAUCGCCCCAAACAGAAGGAACGACAGCAGCAUAACACGCUCCAUUGCUGCGUGGUGGUAGAGAUCGGUCAGUUGUUGGAGUAGAAGUCUAAUCUAGAGAAAUGAAUAAGGAAAUCUUUGUAAGAGGAAAUAUCCAGAGCUCAUUUGUUCUUUGAGAAGAGCCGAAGAGGAGCAUUAAAUAGGAAGCUCCGCAAUAUAGAUAUAUAUAUAUAUAUAUGUUAAUUCAGUAUCAUGAAGAUACCGAUCAUUGCGUAUACCAAAAAUCCAAUACAAUCAAUGAUUGUACGUAUAGGCAAGUCUAGAAGAAGAGAAAACCCUGAAAGACAUGUCUUUCGCUGGAGAGAAUGGGUGAUAUUACACGCCCAGGAUAUAAAAUGAAAGUGGACGAUUGAAACCAGACCCGAACAUCGGAUCAUAACCCUGCAUGUCUUGUUCAUGAUGGUAGAUCUGGAGAAUGUGGCAGUCAGGAACCAGUGCCUUGGACAUCGUGUUGAUGCUGUGUGUUGGAAGAUGAAUGUUCAUUUUCAAGAAAAGCUUGUUGAGGUUUGAGGCUGGGAUGGUUAGUCAGCCGUCUAGUUCCCGCCGAUCUAGUCUCGAACUUCGUCGUCUAUUACCACCAGUAUUCAUCGACGUCCACGAAAGCAGGAAUCUAUCUCCUCGCAAGCUCCAUGGAGCUGCUUGGUGCCAACUGGGAUACAACUCUGUAUCAUCAGAAACAUUGUCUAACCGGGGCUAUCAAUGCGAUCCGUGGUUCUUCUAUCUUUGCCGUCUAGUGUCCAACGCCGUCUCCUUGUCUUUCCAAGAGGAGUCGGGUUAUAUGGCCUUGAUUCUUCCAGAUAUACGCACUUGUCUGGUUCUGUCCGAAUCACGUCCUGUUUUUAGUCGUAAGUCCAGCUGCUUAUGCCGCAAUCACUUCAAUGAAGAGAAUCUUGAUUUCAUUCUAAAUUAUUCAUAUACAACCAACUAUCCAACCUGCAGCCCACCAAAUGGAGAUCGAAACGGAUGAUACUUUUUCUUCUUCCAUCUCCUCUAACACUUAAUCCCCAGGGAACAACGAAUAUUCCGGUUUCGUGAAGGACCAUAUUAGAGUCAUUGAUAUCCAGCUCUCGGAGGUCGGUUUGGGUUUUCACAUUGUUCCAUAGGUAUGGUACGCCCUUGUCUAUUUUUGGUUAUCCUUAUCCUCCUACAGCUGCUUCUGAAGGAAGUAGCAGUAAAAAUAGGCAUGUGGGUAAAGCAUUAGAUGGAUCCGACUGCUGCACAGACUUGUGUUCUUGCAGAAGUAGCUGCUCAUGUUUCUCGUUUGUAUCCAUGUCAAUCUUUUGACAGGCUGGCAUUAUAUUGAAUUAAUUGCCAUUCAGCACUUACAGAAUCGACGUGUCUUACUUCAGGCAAGCACUGGCAAGUUAAGAUUUAAUUUGAUUAAGACAGAUCUAUCGAUUGAUGGUGGGGAAAGGGGGUGACGUUUCCUAGCGCUUGCUAACAGCAUCCACUUCCCUCCCUUGGCUCCGCUGGCUCCACCAUGUAAAGCAAAACUAGGCUUGCUUCUGCCGGUUAUCAUCAACAUCUUUGUUGCGUAGAAGCCAUCCAUUGAACCAUAGCAGAAUGCCAUUAGUAUCCCUGCGAAGCAGCUGUGGGGCAGGGGGCCAGAUAGUAUAACUUUUUUUGGUUUUUUCUCAUCGCCUUCUAACGAUGCCUGGCUCCCGUUCGGGUGCUCUGGCUGAAGGACGAUUUCGUUAUCAGGUGGGGGGUGUUCAUCAUCUUCAGAGUUUGAACUGCGGUCCUUAACCUUCCCAAUAAUGCCCGUUUUCCGCUCGCAAAAUGCAUGCUGUGUAUCCCCAGCAAGUUCCCAACCAAUCCAGAAUGCCUCUCUGAUGGUUGUCAGCGUAUGAAAAAUUGCGAUAAUAUCGAAAAAAAGCCUACUCGCCGGAAACCAUAUCGUUUACCCCUAUUUUAUUCUCAUCCUUAAUUUCCAUGUCGAUCAGAGCUAUUCAUGCUACAUACAAGCAGCAUUGUCAUAAAAUGUCUCCACCUGUCUCCACCUACGACUCCAGACUCUUGCAUACGACCACUUUCACCGGUCCAAAAUCUGGUCACCAUGGUUUUCCUAGAUAUAGGCCUGGGAAAAAUUUGUUGUAGGAACUCCUUUUUCGAUUCCGGGAUGAUACGCCGGUUCUUUGAAGAAUAAUGCACCUGCUCUUGUAUAUAAUUUUUCUUCCAACAGCGCUUCCUGGUUCUGGAAAAACAACGCAUCGGCGUCAACAGAAAGGACCUCCCGGAAACUAGAGAGUAGAGGGUUUGGCUACCCAUCCUUUUGAGAUUCUACCACUCGUUGUUUGCCAUCUAGCUUAGAUCCCUUGUAAUAACCCCUAGGAGCAUUCUCAGCUUGGCGGGGUAAUCUCUUGCUAAGGUCUUCGUCGCCCAAUACAUGAUUUCAAUGGGUAAAUUGCAACCAAGUCGUCGAAACGACUUAGUUGAUAGGAGCAGCCAGAGUGCUUGUUUGUUCCCCU
rnacentral:sRNA from 1 species